UACAGAGGGUGCAAGCGUUAAUCGGAGUUACUGGGCGUAAAGGGCGCGUAGGUGGUUGUGUAAGUGAGAUGUGAAAGCCCUGGGCUUAACCUAGGAACUGCAUCUUAUACUGCAUAACUGGAGUACUGUAGAGGGUAGUGGAAUUUCCGGUGUAGCGGUGAAAUGCGUAGAGAUCGGAAGGAACACCAGUGGCGAAGGCGGCUACCUGGACAGAUACUGACACUGAGGCGCGAGAGCGUGGGGAGCAAACAGG
rnacentral:rRNA from 1 species